GGGCCCGCACAAGCGGAGGAACAUGUGGUUUAAUUCGAUGAUACGCGAGGAACCUUACCUGGGCUUAAAUGGGGAACGACAGCUGCCGAAAGGUGGCCUUCUUCGGACGUUCUUCAAGGUGCUGCAUGGUUGUCGUCAGCUCGUGCCGUGAGGUGUCGGGUUAAGUCCCAUAACGAGCGCAACCCUUAUCGUUAGUUGCCAGCGGGUCAAGCCGGGGACUCUAGCGAGACUGCCACCGUAAGGUGAGAGGAAGGUGGGGAUGACGUCAAAUCAGCACGGCCCUUAUGUCCAGGGCUACACACGUGUUACAAUGGCCGAUACAAAGGGCAGCUACCAGGCGACUGGAUGCUAAUCUCUAAAGUCGGUCUCAGUUCGGAUCGAAGUCUGCAACCCGACUUCGUGAAGCUGGAUUCGCUAGUAAUCGCGCAUCAGCCAUGGCGCGGUGAAUACGUUCCCGGGCCUUGUACACACCGCCCGUCAAACAAUGGAAGCUGGGGGUACCUGAAGUAUGUAACCGCAAGGAGCGUCCUAGGGUAAAACUAGUAACUGGUGUUAAGUCGUAACAAGGUAGCCGUACCGGAAGGUGUGGCU
rnacentral:rRNA from 1 species